rnacentral:rRNA from 1 species
CCUACGGGGUGCAGCAGUGGGGAAUAUUGCGCAAUGGGGGAAACCCUGACGCAGCAACGCCGCGUGAGUGAGGAAGUAUCUCGGUAUGUAAAGCUCUAUCAGCGGGGAAGAAGGAAGACGGUACCUGACUAAGAAGCCCCGGCUAACUACGUGCCAGCAGCCGCGGUAAUACGUAGGGGGCGAGCGUUAUCCGGAUUCACUGGGUGUAAAGGGAGCGUAGACGGCCAUGCAAGCCAGGGGUGAAAGCCCGGGGCCCAACCCCGGGACUGCCCUUGGAACUGCAUGGCUGGAGUGCGGGAGGGGCAGGCGGAAUUCCUGGUGUAGCGGUGAAAUGCGUAGAUAUCAGGAGGAACACCGGCAGCGAAGGCGGCCUGCUGGACCGCGACUGACGUUGAGGCUCGAAAGCGUGGGGAGCGAACAGGAUUAGAUACCCCAGUAGUC